rnacentral:rRNA from 1 species
CGGCGGACGGGUGAGUAACGCGUGGGCAACCUGCCUCAUACGGGGGGAUAACAGUUAGAAAUGACUGCUAAUACCGCAUAAGCGCACGAGGGCCGCAUGGCCCGGUGUGAAAAACUCCGGUGGUAUGAGAUGGACCUGCGUCUGAUUAGCUUGUUGGCGGGGUAACGGCCCACCAAGGCGACGAUCAGUAGCCGACCUGAGAGGGUGGCCGGCCACAUUGGGACUGAGACACGGCCCAAACUUCUACGGAAGGCAGCAG